UCACAGUUGGAACUUGAAUUUAUCAAGUAGGGACUACGCAUUAAAAUAAUUUCAUUUCCUGUUCAAUCAACCCUAUGAUGUGGUUAUUAUUAUCGACAUUUCACAAGAUAAGGAAGGCAGAUAUUAUCUGGAAGUGAAGAGGUGGAAGUAUGAGGCAAACUCAAACUCUUCAUGAUAUUUGUACUUCCUUCUCUCAGUAAGUCUCUCUGUUAGCAGUAGGGAAUCUCCCGUUAGUUAGAAAUAAAUGAUUAAGAGGCAGAUUUCAGCUCCAAAGGUAAAAGGAAGCACCUUCUUUCUACCUAUUAAAAACUCUGAAAUUAAAUGAACUUUCCCAGAAGGUGUUGGGAUCUCAUGUCUGUGAUUAUAUUAUGUAAUGAUGAUGAAAUCAAUGAUUAGGAAUGGGAUUUUAUUACUAAAUUCAACUUACUAUAAAAAGGGAGGAGGGUAGGUAGAUGUCAUUGCUAACCACACCCAAGGAAGAUCAGGAAGGUUUGGACUCUAUCUUCUUCACCUCUGUGCAGAGACUCCAAAAUCAUCACUGUUCAUCUUCCAUUGCCCUGAAGAGCAGUAAGGGUUGAAACUGAAGGCCAAUUGUGAAUACUAUCCACCGGGAGCUUCUUAUGAAUUGACUUGUGUUUCUCACAUAAUAAGUAACACAUCAGUUAGGUUCUGGUCCCAAGGAGUGCUACUUUCAUCUCCUGAAAGCUUUGAAAGAGAUUUGAUACCUGAUGGCAUCUUGAAGCACACUCCAUCUUCUGAUGGAAGCUGAACCAAAAUUGUUCAUAUGACUAGGGACUCAGGGUACUCUAGAUUGUUUGGAGUCCUGUAUAAAUACAUUUAAAAGACAAAAAAAUUGCUUCCUUAAUCUAAGGACAAAUGCCCUUAGUACAUAGAUGCUGCUUAUUCUGCCGAUGCAUUAGAGCUAUACUAGUAAUUAUACUCCUAUUUUCUUUUUCUUUCUUUUUUUUUUUUUUUGAGACGGAGUUUCGCUCUUGUUACCCAGGCUGGAGUGCAAUGGUGCAAUCUCGGCUCACCACAACCUCUGCCUCCUGGGUUCAGGCAAUUCUCCUGCCUCAGCCUCCUGAGUAGCUGGGAUUACAGACAUGCACCACCAUGCCCAGCUAAUUUUUUGUAUUUUUAGUAGAGACGGGGUUUCACCAUGUUGACCAGGAUGGUCUCGAUCUCUUGACCUCGUGAUCCACCCACCUGGGCGUCCCAAAGUGCUGGGAUUACAGGUGUGAGCCACCGCGCCCGGCCGGUAUCUUUUUUUUUUUUAAUGUAAGGGUUUACUGCUAUAAAGUUCUAAGUAUUGCUUUUGCUGCAUUUCAUAGGUUUUGGUAUGUUGUGUUUCAUUUUUGUUUUUCUCAAGAUAUUUUCUGAUUUCGCUUUUGAUUUCUGCUUUGAUCUGUUGGAUGUUCAAGAAUAUGUUUUAUACUUUCCAC
rnacentral:lncRNA from 1 species